rnacentral:rRNA from 1 species
AGUGAACGCUGGCGGUAGGCCUAACACAUGCAAGUCGAACGGCAGCACAGGAGAGCUUGCUCUCUGGGUGGCGAGUGGCGGACGGGUGAGGAAUACAUCGGAAUCUACUCUGUCGUGGGGGAUAACGUAGGGAAACUUACGCUAAUACCGCAUACGACCUACGGGUGAAAGCAGGGGAUCUUCGGACCUUGCGCGAUUGAAUGAGCCGAUGUCGGAUUAGCUAGUUGGCGGGGUAAAGGCCCACCAAGGCGACGAUCCGUAGCUGGUCUGAGGGGAUGCUCAGCCACACUGGAACUGAGACACGUGCCAGACUCCUACGGGAGGCAGCAGUGUGGAAUAUUGGACAAUGGGCGCACGCCUGAUCCAGCCAUACCGCGUGGGUGAAGAAGGCCUUCGGGUUGUACAGCCCUUUUGUUGGGAAAGAAAUCCAGCUGGCUAAUACCCGGUUGGGAUGACGGUACCCAAAGAAUAAGCACCGGCUAACUUCGUGCCAGCAGCCGCGGUAA